rnacentral:rRNA from 1 species
CCCUUGGGACUGAGACACGGCCCCAGACUCCUACGGGAGGCAGCAGUGGGGAAUAUUGGACAAUGGGCGGAAGCCUGAUCCAGCAACCCGCGUGAGGGAUGACGGCCUUCGGGUUGUAAACCUCUUUCAGUAGGGACGGAAGCGCAAGUGACGGUACCUACAGAAGAAGGACCGGCCAACUACGUGCCAGCAGCCGCGGUAAACGUAGGGUCCGAGCGUUGUCCGGAAUUAUUGGGCGUAAAGGCUCGUAGGCGGUUUGUCGCGUCGGGAGUUGAAAACUUGGGGCUUAACCCCAUUCGUGCUUCCGAUACGGGCAGACUAGAGGCAGGCAGGGGAGAACGGAAUUCCUGGUGUAGCGGUGGAAUGCGCAGAUAUCAGGAGGAACACCGGUGGCGAAGGCGGUUCUCUGGGCCUGUUCUGACGCUGAGGAGCGAAAGCAUGGGGAGCGAACAGGAUUAGAUACCCUGGUAGUCCAUGCCGUAAACGUUGGGCGCUAGGUUGGGGAUCCAUUCACGGGUUCCGUGCCGCAGCUAAACGCAUUAAGCGCCCCGCCUGGGGAGUACGGCCGCAAGGCUAAAACUCAAAGGAAUUGACGGGGGCCCGCACAAGCGGCGGAGCAUGCUGAUUAAUUCGAUGCAACGCGAAGAACCUUACUGGGUUUGACAUACGCCAGAAGCCUGCAGAGAUGUGGGUCUCUUUGGACACUGGUGUACAGGUGGUGCAUGGCUGUCGUAGCUCGUGUCGUGAGAUGUUGGGUUAAGUCCCGCAACGAGCGCAACCCUUGUCCUAUGUUGCCAGCACGUAGUGGUGGGGACUCAUAGAGACUGCCGGGGUCAACUCGGAGGAAGGUGGGGAUGACGUCAAGUCAUCAUGCCCCUUAUGUUCCAGGGCUUCAAGCAUGCUAAAUGGCCGGUACAAAGGGCUGCGAAACUGCAAGGUGGAGCGAAUCCCAAAAAGCCGGUCUCAGUUCGGAUUGGGGUCUGCAACUCGACCCCAUGAAGUCGGAGUCGCUAGUAAUCGCAGAUCAGCAACGCUGCGGUGAAUACGUUCCCGGGCCUUGGGGAA